UACGAAGGGGGCUAGCGUUGCUCGGAAUCACUGGGCGUAAAGGGUGCGUAGGCGGGUCUUUAAGUCAGGGGUGAAAUCCUGGAGCUCAACUCCAGAACUGCCUUUGAUACUGAAGAUCUUGAGUUCGGGAGAGGGUGAGUGGAACUGCGAGUGUAGAGGUGAAAUUCGUAGAUAUUCGCAAGAACACCAGUGGCGAAGGCGGCUCACUGGCCCGAUACUGAC
rnacentral:rRNA from 1 species